ACGAAGGGGGCUAGCGUUGUUCGGAAUCACUGGGCGUAAAGCGCACGUAGGCGGAUCGAUAAGUCAGGGGUGAAAUCCCGAGGCUCAACCUCGGAACUGCCUUUGAUACUGUCGACCUUGAGUCCGGGAGAGGUGAGUGGAACUCCGAGUGUAGAGGUGAAAUUCGUAGAUAUUCGGAAGAACACCAGUGGCGAAGGCGGCUCACUGGCCCGGUACUGACGCUGAGGUGCGAAAGCGUGGGGAGCAAACAGG
rnacentral:rRNA from 1 species